rnacentral:rRNA from 1 species
UACAGAGGUCUCAAGCGUUGUUCGGAUUCAUUGGGCGUAAAGGGUGCGUAGGCGGCGCGGUAAGUCGGGUGUGAAAUCUGGAGCUUAACUCCGAAACUGCAUUCGAUACUGCCGUGCUUGAGGACUGGAGAGGAGACUGGAAUUUACGGUGUAGCGGUGAAAUGCGUAGAUAUCGUAAGGAAGACCAGUGGCGAAGGCGGGUCUCUGGACAGUUCCUGACGCUGAGGCACGAAGGCAGGGGAGCAAACGGG